AACGCGAAGAACCUUACCAAGUCUUGACAUACUGUGAAGACACAAGAGAUUGUGUUGUUCUGACCUUUGGUUAGACACAGAUACAGGUGGUGCAUGGUUGUCGUCAGCUCGUGUCGUGAGAUGUUGGGUUAAGUCCCGCAACGAGCGCAACCCUUAUAUCUAGUUGCCAGCAGUAAGAUGGGGACUCUAGAUAGACUGCCAGUGAUAAACUGGAGGAAGGUGGGGAUGACGUCAAAUCAUCAUGCCCCUUAUGACUUGGGCUACACACGUGCUACAAUGGAUAGGAACAAAGAGAAGCGAGCUCGCGAGAGUAAGCAAACCUCACAAAACUAUUCUCAGUUCGGAUUGUAGUCUGCAACUCGACUACAUGAAGCUGGAAUCGCUAGUAAUCGCGAAUCAGAAUGUCGCGGUGAAUACGUUCCCGGGUCUUGUACACACCG
rnacentral:rRNA from 1 species